rnacentral:misc_RNA from 1 species
AUUAACAAACACUAAACUUAUAACUAACUGAACUGAUAGUGCUUUGCACUACUCUGAACUUAUACCUGAGCUCAAAAGUAAGCGAUGGUUGAACGUAAAUUUUCAACGAUGGAUGUCUUGGCUCCCAUAGCGAUGAAGAACGCAGCGAACUGCGAUAAGCAAUGUGAAUUGCAGAACUACGAAUCAUUGAUAUUCUAAUGCAUCUU